rnacentral:lncRNA from 1 species
CCACCUCGCCCUUCCCAGUGAAAGUGAGCAGAGGGAGGGCUGCACGUAGUGAUGAGAUAAUGACAGCCAAAAAUCCCUGACAGAGAUCAGCCUGUGCUGGGAAGAAUGACUGAGGAUGCUCUUUUGGUCACCCUGUGUAUACAAUGAGAAAAAGACCUGUAACAUCAGCUACA